rnacentral:rRNA from 1 species
GACAGAGGGUGCAAGCGUUGUUCGGAAUUACUGGGCGUAAAGGGCGCGUAGGCGGUCUAUUAAGUUCGGUGUGAAAUCCCCCGGCUCAACUGGGGAACUGCGCCGAAAACUGGCAGACUAGAGUACCGGAGAGGAGGGUGGAAUUCCUGGUGUAGCGGUGGAAUGCGUAGAUAUCAGGAGGAACACCGGUGGCGAAGGCGGCCCUCUGGACGAGUACUGACGCUGAGGCGCGAAAGCGUGGGGAUCAAACAGG